AACGAACGCUGGCGGCAUGCCUAACACAUGCAAGUCGAACGAGACCUUCGGGUCUAGUGGCGCACGGGUGCGUAACGCGUGGGAACCUGCCCUUAGGUUCGGAAUAACUCCCCGAAAGGGGUGCUAAUACCGGAUAAUGUCUUCGGACCAAAGAUUUAUCGCCUUUGGAUGGGCCCGCGUUGGAUUAGCUAGUUGGUAGGGUAAAAGCCUACCAAGGCGACGAUCCAUAGCUGGUCUGAGAGGAUGAUCAGCCACACUGGGACUGAGACACGGCCCAGACUCCUACGGGAGGCAGCAGUGGGUAAUAUUGGACAAUGGGCGAAGGCCUGAUCCAGCACUGCCGCGUGAGUGAUGAAGGUCUUAGGGUUGUAAAGCUCUUUUACCCGGGAUGAUAAUGACAGUACCGGGAGAAUAAGCUCCGGCUAACUCCGUG
rnacentral:rRNA from 1 species